rnacentral:rRNA from 1 species
ACAUACAACCACACCCACUGGAAAACACGGCAUCCCAUUCGCUCUACUCUCGUUAAGCCAGUGAGGGCUGGGUUAGUACCUAGAUCGGUGACGUCUGGGGAAUACCCGGUGUUGUAUGUU